GAUGAACGCUGGCGGCGUGCCUAAUACAUGCAAGUCGAGCGAACGGACGAGAAGCUUGCUUCUCUGAUGUUAGCGGCGGACGGGUGAGUAACACGUGGAUAAGCUACCUAUAAGACUGGGAUAACUUCGGGAAACCGUAGCUAAUACCGGAUAAUAUUUUGAACCGCAUGGUUCAAAAGUGAAAGACGGUCUUGCUGUCACUUAUAGAUGGAUCCGCGCUGCAUUAGCUAGUUGGUAAGGUAACGGCUUACCAAGGCAACGAUGCAUAGCCGACCUGAGAGGGUGAUCGGCCACACUGGAACUGAGACACGGUCCAGACUCCUACGGGAGGCAGCAGUAGGGAAUCUUCCGCAAUGGGCGAAAUCCUGACGGAGCAACGCCGCGUGAGUGAUGAAGGUCUUCGGAUCGUAAACCUCUGUUAUUAGGGAAGAACAUAUGUGUAAGUAACUGUGCACAUCUUGACGGUACCUAAUCAGAAAGCCACGGCUAACUACGUG
rnacentral:rRNA from 1 species